GGGUGACUUGGAACUAAACUAUUUUAGUCUCUUUUAGUCAAUGUGUUUGGAACUUUAGCUACUAAAAAGUGACUAAAGUUUAGCUAGCUAAAAUUUAGUUGGUGGAACCAAACAGGGCCUAAGUUUGUAGGUCCUGUUGUUUUUUUGGAUGGUGAAGGGAGUACAAUACAAGCCGCCGAGACACCCCCAUUAUGCUAGGCCCAUGGGCUACGGAGGGUGGGUGCCGUCAGCCCUACUGAUGGGCUUUAUUUAACACUGACGGACACUAUUGGUUGGCCCAUGAGCUCUUUGGACCCGAUGGAUGGCCGAUCCAGAAAAAAUAAAAAUAAAAAAUUUCUGCUUCAACCUGCGACUGCGAGGAUACCAAAGACAAAAGCUUUGGGUGCUCCGACUAACAAACCACGGCCGCCGUUGCCGCCGCCGGCAAACACAAGCUAAGUGCUGACGACCUAGCAAUUGGUUUCCAUUUGCAUUGCUCGCCGGAAAUCAACCCUGCGCCUCGACAGCAGGUCGCCGACGACGACCGGACCAAGACCAAGAACAACACACCGCCGCCGCCGGGAACAUCCGAUGAAUCCGACGACAAAAUGCCAGCUGUGAUCCUGUCCCUGUUGCAUGCAUUUGAUCACUGACUAGCCAUCGGCUGGUGGUCUAGAAGAAGCCAACAACGCGUAUAGUACCAAAGGCUUGUUUAGCUUGCCAAAAGAAAAUGUUAUAAUAAUAUUUAAAGUAUUGAAUAUAGACUAAUCAAAAAACAUGUGUGCGUACU
rnacentral:lncRNA from 1 species